rnacentral:rRNA from 1 species
ACUCAAAGGAAUUGACGGGGGCCCGCACAAGCGGUGGAGUAUGUGGUUUAAUUCGAUGCAACGCGAAGAACCUUACCUACUCUUGACAUGGUGGGAAUCUGGCAGAGAUGCUGGAGUGCCGAAAGGAACCCACACACAGGUGCUGCAUGGCUGUCGUCAGCUCGUGUCGUGAGAUGUUGUCUUAAGUGACGCAACGAGCGCAACCCUUGCCCUUAGUUACCAUCAUUCAGUUGGGGACUCUAAGGGGACUGCUGGUCUAUGACCGGAGGAAGGGGGGGAUGACGUCAAGUCAUCAUGGCCCUUACGAGUAGGGCUACACACGUACUACAAUGGUCGGUACAGAGGGAUGCAAUAUCGCGAGAUGGAGCGAAUCCCAGAAAGCUGAUCGUAGUCCGGAUUGAAGUCUGCAACUCGACUUCAUGAAGCCGGAAUCGCUAGUAAUCGCAGAUCAGAAUGCUGCGGUGAAUACGUUCCCGGGCCUUGCACACACCGCCCGU